GAUGAACGCUGGCGGCGUGCCUAAUACAUGCAAGUCGAGCGAACAGACGAGGAGCUUGCUCCUCUGACGUUAGCGGCGGACGGGUGAGUAACACGUGGAUAACCUACCUAUAAGACUGGGAUAACUUCGGGAAACCGGAGCUAAUACCGGAUAAUAUAUUGAACCGCAUGGUUCAAUAGUGAAAGACGGUUUUGCUGUCACUUAUAGACGGAUCCGCGCCGCAUUAGCUAGUUGGUAAGGUAACGGCUUACCAAGGCAACGAUGCGUAGCCGACCUGAGAGGGUGAUCGGCCACACUGGAACUGAGACACGGUCCAGACUCCUACGGGAGGCAGCAGUAGGGAAUCUUCCGCAAUGGGCGAAAGCCUGACGGAGCAACGCCGCGUGAGUGAUGAGGGUCUUCGGAUCGUAAAACUCUGUUAUUAGGGAAGAACAAAUGUGUAAGUAACUAUGCACGUCUUGACGGUACCUAAUCAGAAAGCCACGGCUAACUACGUG
rnacentral:rRNA from 1 species